rnacentral:rRNA from 1 species
AGUGAACGCUGGCGGUAGGCCUAACACAUGCAAGUCGAACGGAAGCACGGUAAGUGCUUGUUCUUCCGGGGGGCGAGUGGCGGACGGGUGAGGAAAAUAUCGGAAUCUAUUUUUUCGGGGGGGUUAACGAAGGGAAACUUACGCUAAUACCGCAUACGACCUACGGGGGAAAGCAGGGGAUCUUCGGACCUUGCGCGAUUGAAUGAGCGGAUGUCGGAUUAGCUAGUUGGCGGGGUAAAGGCCCACCAAGGCGACGAUCCGUAGCUGGUCUGAGAGGAUGAUCAGCCACACUGGAACUGAGACACGGUCCAGACUCCUACGGGAGGCAGCAGUGGGGAAUAUUGGACAAUGGGCGCAAGCCUGAUCCAGCCAUACCGCGUGGGUGAAGAAGGCCUUCGGGUUGUAAAGCCCUUUUGUUGGGAAAGAAAAGCAGCAGGUUAAUACCCCGCUGUUCUGACGGUACCCAAAGAAUAAGCACCGGCUAACUUCGUG